rnacentral:rRNA from 1 species
GACGAACGCUGGCGGCGUGCUUAACACAUGCAAGUCGAACGGAAAGGCCCUGCUUUUGCUGGGCGCUCGAGUGGCGAACGGGUGAGUAACACGUGUGUAACCUGCCCCUGACUUUCGGAUAACACUUGGAAACUGGGGCUAAUACCCGAUAGGAGCUCUUGCUCCACGGUGGGCGAUGGAAAGUUUCGGCGGUUGGGGAUCGACUCGCUGCUUAUCAGCUAGUUGGUGAGGUAGUGGCUUACCAAGGGUUUGAAGGGUAGCCGGCCUGAGAGGGUGGCCGGCCACAUUGCGCCUAAGGUAGGGACCAGAAUCGAACCGGAGGCAACGGUGGAGAGUAUUACGGAGUAGGCGGAAGCGUGAUGCGAAGGUGCCGCGAGCGGAAUGACGGCCUUCGAGGUGUGAACCGCUGUGGCAUGUGACGAAGCGUGAGUGACGGUAAUGGGUAAGAAAGCACCGGCUAACUACGUG